AUACGUAGGGUGCAAGCGUUAAUCGGAAUUACUGGGCGUAAAGUGUGCGCAGGCGGUUUUGUAAGACAGUGGUGAAAUCCCCGGGCUCAACCUGGGAACUGCCAUUGUGACUGCAAGGCUGGAGUGCGGCAGAGGGGGAUGGAAUUCCGCGUGUAGCAGGGAAAUGCGUAGAUAUGCGGAGGAACACCGAUGGCGAAGGCAAUCCCCUGGGCCUGCACUGACGCUCAUGCACGAAAGCGUGGGGAGCAAACAGGAUUAGAUACCCUGGUAGUCCACGCCCUAAACGAUGUCAACUGGUUGUUGGGGAUUUAUUUUCUCAGUAACGAAGCUAACGCGUGAAGUUGACCGCCUGGGGAGUACGGCCGCAAGGUUAAAACUCAAAUGAAGUGGCGGGG
rnacentral:rRNA from 1 species